UGGGGAAUAUUGCACAAUGGGCGCAAGCCUGAUGCAGCCAUGCCGCGUGUAUGAAGAAGGCCUUCGGGUUGUAAAGUACUUUCAGCGGGGAGGAAGGGAGUAAAGUUAAUACCUUUGCUCAUUGACGUUACCCGCAGAAGGAGCACCGGCUAACUCCGUGCCAGCAGCCGCGGUAAUACGGAGGGUGCAAGCGUUAAUCGGAAUUACUGGGCGUAAAGCGCACGCAGGCGGUUUGUUAAGUCAGAUGUGAAAUCCUCGGGCUCAACCUGGGAACUGCAUCUGAUACUGGCAAGCUUGAGUCUCGUAGAGGGGGGUAGAAUUCCAGGUGUAGCGGUGAAAUGCGUAGAGAUCUGGAGGAAUACCGGUGGCGAAGGCGGCCCCCUGGACGAAGACUGACGCUCAGGUGCGAAAGCGUGGGGAGCAAACAGG
rnacentral:rRNA from 1 species